GUGGUCAUCAGGCAGAAAGUGGUGGAUGUUGGGUGUUUAAUGGCUUCCUCCUUUUCUCCCCCUGGAUCAGUCCAGGAUCCUAGACCAUGGAAGAGUUCAAUCCGCCCUUAGGGCGGGCUCUCCUUCUCUGUUAAACUCCUCUGGAAAUGUCCUCACGGUUUCUGCCUAAGCUGUCUCCUGGGUGAUUCUAAAUUCAGCCAAACUGACAAUAAAGAUUUACUGUGACACAGACGCAUCCUUUCUGAGGAGCAGGCGAGGUGUCUCAGUGGUUAAGAAUGCUUGCUGCUAGUUGAGAGAGAGGGCCAUUAGAAGGCUUCUGUGACAACGCCUCCCCGCCCCUGAAAAGUAACAACCUCGACAGGAAGCCAUGGAAGGGAACUCUUACAAAAGCAUGGUUUAAUUCAAUCUUCCCUGGUUAAUGAAGUUUCGGGCAGACUGAAGGCCAGGACUGAGGCAAAGUACUAGCCUAGUGUGCACGAAGUCUUGGAUUCCAUCGUGUGCCAUGCAGGGUGGUGCAAGCCUGUCGUCUCAGCACUUGGAAGGUACAAAAAGAAGGAUCAGAAGUUCAAGAUUGAGAUGUAAGCUCUCGACUACUUCUCUAGCUCUGGGCUCACCCACCUUCUGUCAUGAUGGAUGAGGACUCUUAACCAUGUCUCUGAAACGAGACUGCCUUUGUGCCUGGUCUACAGACAAGGAAAGAGAAAGUCAGAGGUGUGGACGGGCUUGCUCACUCACAUGCAAUAAACACUGACUGAGAGGGCACCACGGAGGUCCUGGAUCUUUGGAAAUAACUCUCAAGCACACCAGUCUCAACAGCAAAAACACAGGCAACGCUACUAAAGGGAGCAGCGAUGUCAGAAUAUCCAUGAACACGGUCUGACCCCACUUUCAUCCAGUCCUGGGAAAGUACUACAGCAGCACUCGGGUGUGUGCUUGCCUCCUGACCAUCGGGUGGCAACUCAACAGACAGCCUUGCUGGGAAAAGUGAACCGCAAGCCAAGGGAAGCAGAAGGGAGCGGUAGCCAUGUUGUCAUGGCUCCUCCAUGUUGUCAUGGCUCCUGCCCUUGUAGAGCCCAGGCCCAUACGCAUUUUGUCUUGCUUAACCUUCUGCUAUCCCACACUGUGGCUAAAUAGACCUUUCCUCUUUAUAAAUCCCUUGCCUUGUGUAUUUCAUUGUGGUUAGAGGAAGCUAACCAAUGCUCCUUCCUUCUGAGCAAUGCUUUGAGAUAAGAUUUCACAGGGGCAUGGUUCCCAGGUGUUGGUGAUUUACAGUGGCUUGAGCACCAGGAGCCAGGGCCACUGACAGAUUUCACAGGGAUGUGAGUCCCAGGAGGACAGGGGCAUGAACACCAGAAGGCAGGGCCAUGAUGUCUCAGAGGCCACAGAAACUGUGCUGAGCUCCCUCCUGCUUUCAAAUAGCUUCCAGUGGGAUGAGAGUCAAUACUUUGCUCUGCCAUUCACUGAGAACCAGCUCAGAGUGUGAGCCAAGCCGGGCUCCUCUCCUUCCCGCUACAGAAGGAAAUCAUUUUCUAUAAUGAGGUCUUCAGGCUGUUCCCUCGGAAGGAAGGCUCGUCACCUGUCACUCAGCCUCCGUCUGCCUCAUUACUCUCGAGACGAACAGCCAAUUUUCCUGGAUUCCUGUGUCUUCCUUCCCUCCGUGUCGUGCAGCUGUGAGUCUGAUUUGCAAAAAAGCCAUCACCUCAUAAUCUGACCAUCAGAAAGACGUAAAGGGGGCAUGCUACCAACCAUAUUUCUGUUUUAAAUUCCAAUAAACAUGAGCUGAAGCGUGA
rnacentral:lncRNA from 1 species